rnacentral:rRNA from 2 species
CAGUUGGUGAAUGGCUCGGCUCGGAAGCCGAAGAAGGGCGUGCCAAGCUGCGAUAAGCCCGGGGGAGCCGCACGGAGGCUAAGAACCCGGGAUUCCUCAAUGGGAACUCCUCUUCGCAAUUGCUUUGCGCAAUGGGGAACACCGAGAACUGAAACAUCUCAGUAUCGGUAGGAAAAGAAAACGAAUGUGAUGUCGUUAGUAACCGCGAGUGGACGCGACACAGCCCAAACCGAAGCCCUCACGGGCAAUGUGGUGUGUGGGCUGGCACUCAUCGGCCGACCGUCUGCGAGAAGUCCCCUGGAAAGGGGCGUGAGACAGGGUGAUAACCCCGUACCGCAGACCAGUACGUCGUGCGCCAGUUCCGGAGUAGCGGGGGUUGGAAAUCCCUCGUGAACGAGGCAGGCAUCGACUGCCAAGGCUAAACACUCUCCGAGACCGAUAGCGAACAAGUAGCGUGAGCGAACGCUGCAAAGUACCCUCCAACGGGAGGUGAAAUAGAGCCUGAAAUCAACUGGUUAUGGAGCGACGGGGCACAAAAGGCCUUGUGGAGAACGACAGAGGGGCGACCCUCCAGUAGGACCCACGAGGAGCCGGUGUUCCGUCGUACGUUUUGAAAAACGAACCAGGGAGUGUGUCUGUAUGGCGAGUCUAACCCGAUCAUCGGGGAAGGCAUAGGGAAACCGACAUGGCCGCAGUGCUUUGCACCAGGGCCGCCGUCUUCAAGGGCGGGGAGUCAUUCGGACACGACCCGAAUCCGGACGAUCUACGCGUGGGCAAGGUGAAGCGUGGCGAAAGCUACGUGGAGGCCUGCCAGGGAUGGUGUCCUACAAUACCCUCCCGUGACCCAUGUGUAGGGGUGAAAGGCCCAUCGAGUCCGGCAACAGCUGGUUCCGACCGAAACAUGUCGAAGCAUGACCUCUGCUGAGGUAGUCUGUGGGGUAGAGCGACUGAUUGCCGUGUCCGCCUCCGAGAGGAGUCGGCGCGGCUGUCAAACUCCGAACCUACAGACGCCGUCGAUGCAGGGAGUCCGGUGUGCGGAGUAAGUCUGUGCACCAAAAGGGAGACAACCCAGAGUUAGGUUAAGGUCCCCAAGUGUGGAUUAAGUGCGAUCAAAGGUGGUCCCGAGCCCCAGACAGCCGGGAGGUGAGCUUAGAAGCAGCUACCCUCCAAGAAAAGCGUAACAGCUUACCGGCCGAGGUUCGGGGCGCCCAAAAUGAUCGGGGCUCAAAUCCACCACCGAGACCUGACCACACCCGUCACAGGGUGAUUGCGUAGGUCGGCGCUCCGCGCGGGUGGAAGUACGGGCGAGAGUUCGUAUGGACCGCGUGGUGACGCAAAUCCUGGUCGUAGUAGCAGCGAAAGUCGGGUUGAAAUCCUGACGGCCGAAAGGGCAAGGGUUCCUCGGCACUGUUCGACAGCCGAGGGUUAGCCGGUCCUAAGAUCCGCCGUAAUUCGAACGGAUCAAAUGGGAAACUGGUUAAUAUUCCAGUGCCACCAUACAUUCAACGUCGACGCCUUGGGGUAGACUGAGCCGGGCACUCGCCCGGUCGAACCGUCGAAAUCCGUGGAAGCCGUAAUGGCACGAAGCGGACGAAUGGCGGGAUAGCGCAAGUCAGUCCAACCUAGGGCCCGUGAAAAGACAGUAUGGUGUCCGUACCGAGAACCGACACAGGUGCCCAGGCGGAGUAAGCCAAGGCCUGUCGGGAAUAACCGACGUUAGGGAAUUCGGCAAAUUGGCCCCGUAAGUUCGCGAUAAGGGGUGCCUGCCUCGGAAAGAGGCAGGUCGCAGUGACCUGGACGCUCCGACUGUCUAGUAACAACAUAGGUGACCGCAAAUGCGCAAGCACUCGUACGGUCACUGAAUCCUGCCCAGUGCGGGUAUCUGAACACCCAUUACAAUGGGACGAAGGACCCGUCAACGGCGGGGGUAACUAUGACCCUCUUAAGGUAGCGUAGUACCUUGCCGCUUCAGUAGCGGCUUGCAUGAAUGGAUUAACGAGAGCGUCGCUGUCCCAACGUUGGGCCCGGUGAACCGUACGUUCCAGUGCGGAGUCUGGAGACCCCCAGGGGGAAGCGAAGACCCUAUGGAGCUUUACUGCAGGCUGUCGCUGGGACGUGGUCGCUGAUGUGCAGGGUAGGUAGAAGACAUUACACAGGUGCGUGCGCUAGCACGUCGCCGAGUCGCCCAUGAAACACUACCCGUCAGUGACUGCGACCCUCACUCCGGGAGGAGGACACCGGUAGCCGGGCAGUUUGACUGGGGCGGUACGCGCUUGAAAAGAUAUCGAGCGCGCCCCAAGGCCAUCUCAUCCGGGACAGAGAUCCGGAGAAGAGCGCAAGAGCAAAAGAUGGCUUGACAGUGUUCUUCCCAACGAGGAACGCUGACGUGAAAGCGUGGUCUAGCGAACUCAUUUGCCCGCUUGAUGCGGGCAAUGAAUGACAGAAAAGCUACCCUAGGGAUAACAGAGUUGUCGCCGGCAAGAGUACAUAUCGACCCGGCGGUUUGCUACCUCGAUGUCGGUUCCCUCCAUCCUGCCCGUGCAGAAGCGGGCAAGGGUGAGGUUGUUCGCCUAUUAAAGGAGGUCGUGAGCUGGGUUUAGACCGUCGUGAGACAGGUCGGCUGCUAUCUACUGGGGGUGUCAUGGUACCUGAUGGGAACGCUCGUAUAGUACGAGAGGAACUACGGGUGGUGGCCACUGGUGUACCGGUCGUCCGAGAGGGCGUUGCCGGGCAGCCACGCCACAUGGGGUAAGAGCUGAACGCAUCUAAGCUCGAAACCCUCCCAAAAAAGAGGUACCUCUGAGACCACUCGUCUAAGACGAGAUCGAUAGACUCGGGGUGUACGCACCGAG